ACCGGCACUUCCGGAUUGGAAGGCAAGGGGACGACGCGUUUGGCCCGUAGGCACUGUGCUAGACGCUGGGGCUCUGGUGGUGGAGGAGACAGCCAAAGCCCGCUGGGCCUUCUGUAAACAGGCGAUCGAGUUGCAGCCGUUACACUGCUUACAGCUGAGGUCUCAGAGAGUCAGAGGUGGGUGUCCAUGUAUCUGUGAGUGACGCCGGGAAGAGAGGCCUCCACCAAAGCUCCUGGUGCCUCCGUUGAAGUUCCCCUACAGGAGUAAAAUGGAAGGAAAAUCAAGCCGCUUGGAAACCCAAACUCCCGUUUUCGUGAAGAAAAAGGCUAAGCAUUCUAAACAUAAGGACAGACGUCGGAGGCAUUCCCAGGAGAGUUUGAGAGCCGCCCCCCUGGCAAGUGAGCAGCGCGACAUAACGGAGAGUAAGAGAAAGAGAAAGGACAGACGGCGUCUCGUUUCCUCUCCUUUGAAGAAAUCAGAAAUCUGCGAUGAGACUGAAAUGGCCACACCUAAACCCAAAAAGAAGAAAAAGAGAAGAAAAAGUGCUUUGGGAGUCGACGAGGAAACAGGCGUUGCGUAUGUCCUGGUGGAUAAAGAAAAUAUUGAGAACACACCAAAGAAUUUCAGAAGCGACGUGGAUGUCGUUUACGUUGAUGCAAGCAAGGAGCAGAAGUCGACAGAACAGCCUGAAGUAGACGAACCCCAUUCAGUUCCUAAGCCACGUGAAAACACAUCCGAGGAACUGCACGGUGAAGUUCGGAAGAAGAAGAAGAAGAAGAAGCAUAAAAAACGUCAGAGGGAAGUUGAAUCCUGGGACGCUGUCCAGGAAAGUCGGGGUGCAAGCAUCGCCCUCCCCAGGGCCGCCUCCCAGGACAAGGAACCGCAGCCUCAAGUGGACCAAGAGGAUGGAAUCGUGCGACUCUCAGUGUCUGCGGGUCACAGCAAGUCCAGGAAAAGGAAGAGGAAGCAUCCAGAUCCCCCAGAAUUCGAGGCCUUGGCUGCGCCCGAGAGGGCUGAGAGCGUGUACUUGGAGGGAUCCCGAGUGGCAGACGAGGUCGAGACUGCAGGAGCCAGUCAGGACUCCAGUGGCCUCAAGAAAAAGUCUAAGAAAAGGAAGCGAAGAUCUCUUGAGAGCACCGUGGAGCCUGGUGAUUUUUCAGUGCCCAGGAGGAACUCUGAGGACACGCCUCUUGAUUCCCUGGAAGGUACCUUGGUUGAAGAAAGUGCGAAACCCAGGCCACAAGAGAAUCCCCAGGCCUGUUCCAAAAAGGUGCAGAGGUCAGAACCUACAAAUGAAGACGAAAGCAAUUUGGCUAAAGGUUCCGAAGCUAAAUAUUUAUCUGAAGAUUCGCGAGAUUCCAACGAUCCGGAGGUGGACUUGGAGUCUGCAGUGAAGCAGCUGCAGGAAUUCAUCCCCGACAUCAAGGACAGGGCUGCCACCACAAUCAAGCGGAUGUACCGAGAUGAUCUGGGGCGGUUUAAAGAAUUCAAAGCCCAGGGUGUCACUAUUAAAUUUGGCAAGUUUUCCGUGAAGGAAAAUAAGCAGUUGGAGAAGAAUGUGCAAGAAUUCCUUUCCCUGACGGGAAUCGAGAACGCAGACAAGCUGCUGUACACAGACAGAUACCCGGAGGAGAAGUCUGUGAUCACUGACUUAAAGAGGAAAUAUGCGUUCAGAGUGCACAUUGGUAAGGGAAUUGCCCGGCCCUGGAAACUCGUAUAUUACCGAGCAAAGAAGAUGUUCGAUGUCAACAAUUACAAAGGCAGGUACAGCAAAGGAGAGACCGAGAAGCUGAAGAUAUACCAGUCCCUGCACGGGAACGACUGGAAGAAGAUCGGCGAGAUGGUGUCUCGGAGCAGCCUCUCCGUGGCCCUGAAGUUCUCCCAGAUCAGCGGCCAAAUUAAUCAUGGUGCUUGGAGCAAGACGGAAACCCAGAAACUAAUCAAGGCUGUUGAAGAAGUGAUCCUGAAGAAAAUGUCUCCCCAGGAGCUAAAUGAGAUGGAUUCUAAACUGCAGCUGAACCCUGAAGGCCGCCUGUCGAUUGUUCGGGAGAAGCUCUACAAAGGCAUAUCCUGGGUAGAAGUGGAGGCUAGAGUGGAGACCAGGAAUUGGAUGCAGUGUAAAAGACGGAAAUUCUAACCAAGAGGAUGACGAACGGUCGGGACGUGUACCGAGGAGUGAACGCUCUGCAGGCCAAGAUCAAUCUGAUCGAAAGGUUGUACGAAAUAAAUGUGCAAGAUGUUAAUGAAAUAGACUGGGAAGAUCUUGCUAGCAUCAUAGGGGAUGUUCCCCCGUCUUACGUCCAAACUAAGUUUUAUAAACUGAAAGCUACCUGCGUUCCCUUUUGGCAGAAGAAGACUUUCCCAGAGAUCAUAGACUACCUGUAUGAGACUAGUCUACCGCUGCUUAAAGAGAAGUUGGAGAAGAAGAUGGAGAAAAAAGGGACUGAGAUCCAGGCUCCAGCAGCCCCUAAGCCCGUCUUCCUGUUUCGAGAUAUCUUUUAUUAUGAUGACGACGACAGUGAGGGAGAAGACAGAGAUGAAAAAAGUUAAGCAGCUGUUACUCUCUCUUGUCCAUUUUUCUAGGUUUGGUUUUAUUUAUAGAUGUCAAUAAAGAUAUUUUCACUAUUGAUUUUA